CAAAGGUCCUGUGUGGGAUGGGAAUGACUGCUGCCAGAAGAAGCAAACAAGACAAGUCCUGAGGGUCACCUUGCUCUGUGGCCCAAGCUCUUCUGGAGAGUGCCAGGGGGCGUUUCCUGCAGGUGCCCUGGUGACACCAUGUUGGUCCCUUUGCCUUUCUCCAGCCCGAGGCUGCUCCUCUGCUCGCUCUCUCCAGUCUCAUCCCACAGGGAUCCUCUUCUCCCUUCCCUGCUGGCUGCUGCCAAGGAAGGAGGACACAAUUACACCAGGUUUUCAGCUAAAGGAAUGGCAUCAUCUAUGCCCACUGCUCGUUAUUCACCCAACCAAAAUCUAGAGCAAAUGUUGGUUGGGCUUUAAUAAGAACUUGAAAUAACUUUAAAAC